GUAUAAUCCCAUACAUGAUCAACAACAUGCAUAAAAAUUAAAACUUUUUUUUCCAUGAACAUCAACCAACCUCAACCUGUGCAUAACAUUAACAUAACAUUAAUCCCUCUGUGGGAUCUCAACAAUGCCCCCAAGGGGUGACAUACAUCUGUUGAGUUGGUUUACAUAAACAUCAUAUAAAUCUCUAAGAUCAUGUAUUAAAAGGGAUACAACAUUCUAUGGUCAAGCACAAUUCUAAUAUCCAUAUACAUCAUCUCUGUACAUAUCUAUACUGACNNNN
rnacentral:lncRNA from 1 species